GCGAAAACACCUCUACAGAAGCUUAACCAUGCUGAAAUGACGGAGGGACUUUAAAGCCAUGAAGAGGUAAACAGAAAGUCAGGAUGUCCGUACUGUAGAGUACUGUGUGACCGCAUGAGGCAACGUGGAUGAACCUCAGAGCCAUGGUGCAGGCUACACAUGUCAGGCUCUGUCACUGUCCACUUUCCCAGAUGAGUGUUACAGUGUGUGACCCUAAUAAACUUGUUACGUACAAA
rnacentral:lncRNA from 1 species